GUGGGAAAGUAGAGCCGUGUGGCAGACACAGCAGAUUCUAGCACAGAAAAACUCAUUUUGAUGUCAGAAAUCUUGUCUGCGCCUCACAGUGGAUGGAGUCAGCAUUGCUGCUGAACACACUCAAUUUGACACUUUACACCUGCAGUGCUGAUUGGAUUAACUAAUUUGAGUCUGGGUUACACACUGACAUCAGUGUUGGGUCCACCAAACUAGAAGUAAGUCUCAAACUUCAGCUUCAGGUGCAGCGUCCAUGACGGCUGGAGACUCUGGCGUGGCAGCCAUGAUUCAUGAACACUUUAUUUUUCUCAGAUUUGCUAAAGUAACAAAAUCUGCAAUCAAAACUCAUCAUGAACUCAAGCUUUUCUUGUCAAAUGUCCCCAAGACCAAAUAUCAGAGGCAGCUAAAUUUCUCUAAAUGAACAAUUACAUUCACAGGUUACUGUGUGCUUCAUUAACUCUCAUUUAUGAAUUUUGCUUGAACACAAGAUAAUUGUAAAUAAUUGUUUUUUUAGUCAAAAUGGACCCUGCAUGUUUGUUCCCUUUUAUUUUAUCUGCUCAAACAUCAGUGUGUCUAGUUUGAUUUGUCGGUAAAUAGACAGCUUGUGCUGGAUGUUGGUGUGUGCGUCAGCAGUUUGUGGCUGAGGCGUUUCUUCAUUUGCUCUCACAAUCUCACAAUCUUUCACUCCACACAAAACAUCUUAUACUGAAAUAAAGUGAAUCCAUCAACAGUCAAAUAAGAGUCACAGGUCAGAAGUCAAAUAUGAUUGACAGCUCACCACACCAAAUAACACACCAGUAGACACAGAUAUCUAAUCCAAUAUUUCACUCUUCUGCUAUUAGUUUUCAUUCAGGGCCAGAAUUCAUUUGAAAAUGUAAGAUUAGCAAAAGCUGAUGUGUGAGCGGAAACUAACUGAGGCGGGGGGUGGAUUCACACUAAACCAGAUAAAUAUCACAGUUUAGUCAUGGUUCAGGUCAAUCUGAGUGUUUUCAGACAUUUUAAGAGUUACUAUCGUGAGCUUUACAGUGAACCGAUGAAGAAAAUGUUUCUCAGAUUAUUUUUGACCUGUUUCUGUUUGUGGCGUCUGGAUGGUGAGUUUAAAUGUGUUUUUAUCACUUAAUUUGCUUCUGUUAAUUUUGUAAAUUUGCUGAUGUCUAAGUGUGUCGCAUUUAACUAUUAAAUAGUUUUGUACAAUACAACAUAUUAGUUCAGUGUUAAAAAUGAUUUUUAUCACAUUUUUGAGUUUAUUAUUUCUUUCUCACAUAACACUUCAAUACCAAAAGUAAAGAAAACAACAGAAAAAGCAGUUGUUUAAACUACUUUAGUGCAAUUGUUUGUCUGUUACAACAGACAUAUUGAUUGGUUUUAUCAAUGAAGAAAUGUUUUCUGUAAACACCUGCAAUUGCUAAAAAAGAAGCAAUUUAACAAGUCAAGGGUCAUAAGCUCACCUAAACACGGAUCUCAGUGAUGGUCACUUAAAUGAAACAUCUAAACCUCUGUUAAUUCUCAAUAAGAUCUUCUGUAGA